rnacentral:lncRNA from 1 species
CAAAAGGAGAGGGGGAUGAAUUGGGUUUCUUAAAAAUUAUUUGAGGAACUUUGUGCCUGACAAUAAAUUUAAAUAUGUUUGUAGAGUGCUUAGCAGAAAUAGAUAUGCAGCAGAAGAUAAAAGGUAAACAUAAUACAAUCACCAACACAAGAAAUUUAUAGCAGUUCGGUGCUCAACUCAGCACCUACAUCUACUUUCUAAGUCAACCCACUUGAAAAUUCCAACUACGAUCCUUCAAGAUUAUAGCCAGAUUAUUUUCACGGAUUCACAAUCCAGUCCAGUUGAUUUUUCCUAGCUCGCUAACCAAAAUCUUACAAUCGAUUGCUUUUUUGGAUUCACGAUCAAUUCAGUUGGUUUUUUCUGGUUCAUCAAUCAAAAUCUUACAAUAUCCAACUUAAGGCUUUGACCAACCCCA